CCUUAAACAUGGCCAGGUCGGAGCGGAUGAAGAGAGCUUGCUUUCUGAUUCAGCGGCGGACGGGUGAGUAAUGCCUAGGAAUCUGCCUGAUAGUGGGGGACAACGUUUCGAAAGGAACGCUAAUACCGCAUACGUCCUACGGGAGAAAGCAGGGGACCUUCGGGCCUUGCGCUAUCAGAUGAGCCUAGGUCGGAUUAGCUAGUUGGUGAGGUAACGGCUCACCAAGGCGACGAUCCGUAACUGGUCUGAGAGGAUAAUCAGUCACACUGGAACUGAGACACGGUCCAGACUCCUACGGGAGGCAGCAGUGGGGAAUAUUGGACAAUGGGCGAAAGCCUGAUCCAGCCAUGCCGCGUGUGUGAAGAAGGUCUUCGGAUUGUAAAGCACUUUAAGUUGGGAGGAAGGGCAUUAACCUUAUACGUUAGUGUUU
rnacentral:rRNA from 1 species